UACGAAGGGGGCUAGCGUUGUUCGGAAUUACUGGGCGUAAAGGGCGCGUAGGCGGCGUGUCAAGUCAGGCGUGAAAGCCCCGGGCUCAACCUGGGAACCGCGCUUGAGACUGGCAUGCUCGAGUUCGGGAGAGGAUGGUGGAAUUCCCAGUGUAGAGGUGAAAUGCGUAGAUAUGUGGAGGAACACCGAUGGCGAAGGCAGCCUUCUGGGCCAACACUGACGCUCAUGCACGAAAGCGUGGGGAGCAAACAGG
rnacentral:rRNA from 1 species